rnacentral:lncRNA from 1 species
UCGAGUAAUAUCCUCGAUCUGCCAAAAAAUAAGGCAAAAUAAAAAUAAUUGCAAGUAUAGCAACUUCUUUUCAUGCACAGGAUGAAAAUGUGAUUAGAAACUAAGGAAGAGAAUCUUAGCUGGAAGGGCUGAAAGGAGCAUAAUAGAUACUCCACUUGUAAAUGAUUAUCAUAUUAGCAAAUAAGUUAUAAACCUCCAUACAACUGACCUAGAGAAGUCAAAAUUAGAAGGCUAUUGAAAGUGGGUAAUUCUGCUGGACAACUGUCAAAGUAAGUGGGUACAGAAUUGUCACUACUAUCACUGAACACUUUUACAUCUCUUUUCUCAUCAUUCUGGUACCAUCACAAGAUACUCCUAGGAUCCCAAGGUGAUUUCCUCCCAUUUAUCAUAAAGCAUGUGAGAUAAGACUCCAAAAUGGAUAUAGCACAGUGCUUGCAAACUAUAUGCUGAUUCGCUAAAUCUUUCCAAUAUUAUAAAGACAUAGCUUCUAAUCUUAGCCAUGGCCACCUCACCAGUUGGUGGCACAACCUUAAUCGCAUUCUCAUUACUUAAAAACGAGCUACAUUAACUAUACUCUUAACAAUUUUAAUACCCAUUAAACCAAAUCUCGUGAUACAGAUAAAGCUUU